UGAGUACCCUCUGUCCCACAAAAGAUGUCUCUAAGUUUGUCAAAAUUUGAAUGUAUCUAGACAUGACUUAGUGUAUAAAUGCAUUCAAAUUUAAUCAAAGUUGAGACAUCCUUUGUUGGACGGAGAAGUAGAAA
rnacentral:pre_miRNA from 1 species